ensembl:snRNA U6 U6 spliceosomal RNA
AAAUUCCAACCCUUUAUACUACAAUUGGAACGAUACAGAGAAGAUUAGCAUGGCCCCUGCGCAAGGAUGACACGCAAAUCCAACCCUCUUAGAAAGAGAUU